CAGUCGCCGCGGUAAUACGAGGGGAGCUAGCGUUGUUCGGAAUUACUGGGCGUAAAGCGCGCGUAGGCGGCUUUUUAAGUCAGAGGUGAAAGCCCGGGGCUCAACCCCGGAAUUGCCUCUGAAACUGGAAAGCUAGAAUCUUGGAGAGGUCAGUGGAAUUCCGAGUGUAGAGGUGAAAUUCGUAGAUAUUCGGAAGAACACCAGUGGCGAAGGCGACUGACUGGACAAGUAUUGACGCUGAGGUGCGAAAGCGUGGGGAGCAAACAGGAUUAGAUACCCGAGUAGUCCCUGUCUCUUAUAC
rnacentral:rRNA from 1 species